GAUGAACGCUGGCGGCGUGCCUAAUACAUGCAAGUCGAGCGAACAGACGAGGAGCUUGCUCCUCUGACGUUAGCGGCGGACGGGUGAGUAACACGUGGAUAACCUACCUAUAAGACUGGGAUAACUUCGGGAAACCGGAGCUAAUACCGGAUAAUAUAUUGAACCGCAUGGUUCAAUAGUGAAAGACGGUUUUGCUGUCACUUAUAGAUGGAUCCGCGCCGCAUUAGCUAGUUGGUAAGGUAACGGCUUACCAAGGCGACGAUGCGUAGCCGACCUGAGAGGAUGAUCGGCCACACUGGAACUGAGACACGGUCCAGACUCCUACGGGAGGCAGCAGUAGGGAAUCUUCCGCAAUGGGCGAAAGCCUGACGGAGCAACGCCGCGUGAGUGAUGAAGGUCUUCGGAUCGAAAAACUCUGUUAUUAGGGAAGAACAAAUGUGUAAGUAACUAUGCACGUCUUGACGGUACCUAAUCAGAAAGCCACGGCUAACUACGUG
rnacentral:rRNA from 1 species